GCCUUAGUAGUAUAAAAAUUACAUUGGUUUUGUAAACCAAAAACGGAGUACCACCCUCUCCCUAAGACA
rnacentral:tRNA from 1 species